rnacentral:rRNA from 1 species
CGGUGUUUAACUGGCGUGAUGUGGGACGUCCUACCGGUGGGCUUAGCCUCGCGAGGGGCGGCCCAACUAAUAUCCCGUCGCGGUGCUCUUUACUGAGUGUCGAGUCGGGCCGGUACGUUUACUUUGAACAAAUUAGAGUGCUUAAAGCAGGCUAUCCUCGCCUGAAUACUGCGUGCAUGGAAUAAUGGAAUAGGACCUCGGUUCUAUUUUGUUGGUUUUCGGAACCCCGAGGUAAUGAUUAAUAGGGACAGAUGGGGGCAUUCGUAUUGCGACGUUAGAGGUGAAAUUCUUGGAUCGUCGCAAGACGGACAGAAGCGAAAGCAUUUGCCAAAAAUGUUUUCAUUAAUCAAGAACGAAAGUUAGAGGUUCGAAGGCGAUCAGAUACCGCCCUAGUUCUAACCAUAAACGAUGCCAGCUAGCGAUCCGCCGAAGUUCCUCCGAUGACUCGGCGGGCAGCUUCCGGGAAACCAAAGCUUUUGGGUUCCGGGGGAAGUAUGGUUGCAAAGCUGAAACUUAAAGGAAUUGACGGAAGGGCACCACCAGGAGUGGAGCCUGCGGCUUAAUUUGACUCAACACGGGAAACCUCACCAGGCCCAGACACCGGAAGGAUUGACAGAUUGAUAGCUCUUUCUUGAUUCGGUAGGUGGUGGUGCAUGGCCGUUCUUAGUUGGUGGAGCGAUUUGUCUGGUUAAUUCCGAUAACGAACGAGACUCUAGCCUGCUAAAUAGGCGUACCUUAUGGUAUCGCGAAGGCCCCCGGCUUCGGCCGGUGGGUUUUUACUACCAACGUACAAACAAAUCUUCUUAGAGGGACAGGCGG